CGCGGGGGGGCUAUUACUGGAUCGGGCUGGAGGACGGUGACCGCAACGACACCUGGCGCUGGGUGGACGGCACCGUGUACUCACCGGCCGACAGCUUCUGGGCGCCGGGGCAGCCGGACCGGCAGGACCACGGGGAGCAGGGCCGCGAGGGCUGCGCCCAGAUCCACCCGGUGGGCACCGGGCUCUGGAACGACCACAACUGCAACAUCCCCUUCCUCUGGAUCUGCAAGCGGGACCUGGGGGGGCCCUGAGCGCCCGCGGCCCGACCCUGCGGGGUGAAGCCCCCGCGCCGGGUCCCUGGGGCGAAGCGAGCGCCCAGCGGCGCCCAGCGCUUUGCCUUGAGUUAAAUUGAAUUAAACGUCUGCCCUGCCUCCGUGCCACCUCGUCCCGUGCCCCCCGCCUCGUCCCACCUCCGUGCUGCCCCCGUCCCCCUCUGCCAGCCCCCGGUGCCCCCGUGGCCGCCCCGUCCCUGCCGCGGGGAGCCCCGGGGCGGCACCAGGAGGGGCCGAGCCCCCCGUGCGCAGCCCCCAGCCCCCAGCUGUGGCAGCGGGGGGGCGCAGGAGCUUUGGCAUUUCUCCCCCGACCCGCUCAGCUCCUCCCCGGCCAAAGCGCUGCCGCAGCCCCCCGCAGCUCCAUCGCAGCCGGAGGAGACCUGGAAGACCCCUUCGCUUUGGGGCGCCCGCGUUUCUUCUCCCCGGGGGUCCCGUCCAACCGAACCGAACCGAACUGAACUCUUCUGUUCCAGCCUGUCCUGUCCUGUCCUAUCUUAUCCUAUCCUACCCUGUCCUGUUGUAUCCCAUCGCCAUCCCCAAUCCCAUCCCAUCCCCAAUCCCAUCCCCAAUCCCAUCCCAUCCCCAAUCCCAUCCCCAUCCCAUCCCGUCCCCAAUCCCAUCCCAUCCCCAAUCCCAUCCCCAAUCCGACUCUCAUCCCCAAUCCCAUCCCAUCCCCAUCCCCUCCCCAAUCCCAUUCCCCAUCCCACCCCUCCCCCCACCCACCCCCUUCCCCGCACCCCACCCCAAC
rnacentral:lncRNA from 1 species